ACGGCUCAGUAACACGUCGGUAACCUACCCUCGGGGGGGGAUAAUCCCGGGAAACUGGGGCUAAUCCCCCAUAGGCCUGGGGUACUGGAAGGUCCCCAGGCCGAAAAGGGCUCUCGCCCGCCCGAGGAUGGGCCGGCGGCCGAUUAGGUAGUUGGUGGGGUAACGGCCCACCAAGCCGAAGAUCGGUACGGGCUGUGAGAGCAGGAGCCCGGAGAUGGACACUGAGACACGGGUCCAGGCCCUACGGGGCGCAGCAGGCGCGAAACCUCCGCAAUGCGGGAAACCGCGACGGGGGGACCCCGAGUGCCGUGGCAUCGCCACGGCUUUUCCGGAGUGUAAAAAGCUCCGGGAAUAAGGGCUGGGCAAGGCCGGUGGCAGCCGCCGCGGUAA
rnacentral:rRNA from 1 species